rnacentral:rRNA from 1 species
GAACGCAGCAAAAUGCGAUACUUGGUGUGAAUUGCAGAAUCCCGUGAACCAUCGAGUUUUUGAACGCAAGUUGCGCCCGAAGCCAUUUGGUUGAGGGCACGUCUGCCUGGGCGUCACGC